GGUGCCCAGUGUGACAGAGAACACCUGGCAGCUCCAUUUAGGUCCCAGUGUUCCCAACCCUUGCUUUUGCUCUCAACACAAAAAGAAAUGGAGAACGAAGCCGUGAAGCCUGGUGAGGUAAGCCACACCAGGCGCCAAAGCCAGCUGCUCCCUUAGAACCCAGGGAGAGGUUUUAGGUAAAGAAAAUGCAGAUUUAUUGAUUUUCAACUUCUUCCUCUUCAGUGGAAUGAAGGUAUUUUCUGAAGAGUGGUCCUUUGGCAUCUAAUCCCAGAACUCAAGAGGAGGAAACAGUUGUCAUAUUCAAGUAUGGGCCCAAUUACUUAGCAAUAUUGCAUCUACACACACAGAGACCUACCUGCCUCCUGGGUAAUGGGAAUGAACAAGCCACCAUGCCUGACAAUUGCCUUUGUCUUAGUCUCAGCUGCACUGUUGCUUUCAGUGAAUAUCACAUCCCCAUAGUUACGGGAAGCAGAUGACUUUUGCUUUUGUUUUUGUUUUUUUUCAAAACAAAGAUUGAAGAAGCUCUAGAAGUCUGCCCCAUUUUAAACCUCUCCGGUUUUCCAUCCGAGAAACUUCAGAGACUUAAAGAAGUUUGUGGUUUGGAUCUGAAGUGUCCCUCAUAGACUACUGUGUUGAAGACUUGGUUCCCACCCAGUGCCACUAUUUUGGGAGGCUGUGGAAACCUGAGAAGGCCAGGCCUGUUUGGAGGAAGUAGGUCAGUGGAGGAGCGCCCCUAAAGGUCAUUGCUGACUCCUUGUCGUCUUCACACUCCGCCUCCUGCUCACCACGAGGUGAUAAACCUCUCCUGCUCCAUGCUUCUGCUACCAUGACAUUUUGGUCUAAAUUCAUGGAGCACAGUAGCCAUGGAGGAGUGACCCUCUAAAACUGAGAGCCAAGGGGCUGCUGAGAUGGCUCAGCGGUUAAGAGCACCAACUGCUCUUCUAAAGGUCCUGAGCUCAGAUCCCAGCAACCACAUGGUGGCUCACAACCAUCUGACUCUCUCUUCUGGUGUGUCUGAAGAAAGCUACAGUGUACUUACAAUAAAUAAAUAAAUAAAUAAAUAAAUAAA
rnacentral:lncRNA from 1 species